rnacentral:rRNA from 1 species
GCCCGCUCAGAAACUUUAAAGGAAUUGACGGGGACCCGCACAAGCAGCGGAGCGUGUGGUUUAAUUUCGUUGCUACACGAAGAACCUUACCUGGGUUUGACAUAUAGGUGUAGGGAACUGAAAAGGGACCGACCCUUCGGGGAGCCUAUACAGGUGUUGCAUGGCUGUCGUCAGCUCGUGUCGUGAGAUGUUCGGUUAAGUCCGCUAACGAGCGCAACCCUCGCUGUGUGUUAUAUGUGUCACACGAGACUGCCGGUCUUAAGCCGGAGGAAGGUGGGGAUGAUGUCAAGUCAGCAUGGCCUUUAUAUCCUGGGCUACACACACGCUACAAUGGCCAACACAAUAGGUUGCUAAGCCGCGAGGUGGCGCCAAUCCAUAAAGUUGGUCUCAGUUCAGAUUGUAGGCUGCAACCCGCCUGCAUGAAGAUGGAGUUGCUAGUAACCGCAGGUCAGCUAUACUGCGGUGAAUACGUUCCCGGGGGCUU